GGGGACGUUUAUGGAUUCGACAGGGGUCCCCCGAGCUCAUGAAGCGUGUCGGAGGGUUGUCUUCGUUACCAACACAUCAGUUUAUAAUAACUGGCAAAACUAACAAUAAUUUCGCAGUAGCUGCCUAAUUGCACUCUGCAUCACCUAACAGCAUCGCCUAUGUGCUGUUAACGUGAUUCAACUUUAGUAGGAUACGCUCGCCACUGCCGUUUGAAGUCUGGCGAGAAGAGAUGAAUCAAACUAGCAUCAUGUUGGCUGUCUAUCGCCUUGCAUGAUGUGAAAUUGAACGAUAGACUACACACGUAGAAACAUUUGUAUCAGGACCUUUGGACGCGGGUUCAAAUCCCGCCGUCUCCACUA
rnacentral:tmRNA from 1 species